rnacentral:rRNA from 1 species
UACGAAGGGGCUAGCGUUGUUCGGAAUUACUGGGCGUAAAGCGCACGUAGGUGGCGACGUAAGUCGGGUGUGAAAGCCCCGGGCUCAACCUGGGAAUUGCAUUCGAGACUGCAUUGCUGGAGUACGGAAGAGGAGGGCGGAAUUCCCGGUGUAGCGGUGAAAUGCGUAGAUAUCGGGAGGAACAUCAGUGGCGAAGGCGGCUACCUGGCCCAAUACUGACACUCAGGUGCGACAGCGUGGGGAGCAAACAGG